CCUCUUCUCCCUCUUCACGCUCGCCCCUCACGCCGUCACAGCCAUGCCACGCCGCCAACAAAGGGACGCCUUCCGGUCAUAGCCUUGAUGAUCCUUCUCUCCCCACGCCGCUGUCGCCCCAUGAUCUCCACCAGCGCCACGACGGCCCCAUGAUCUCCACCAGCGCCACGACGGCCAUGGCCUUCCCAUGCGUCGCCGUCUCCCCUCCAGAUCUGGCCGCCAACGACGCCCUCUACAGCGGUCAAGGUCGAGGGGGCGCGCCAUCCUUCUAGCGUGGUGGGCGACCGGGGGAAGGUCGACAAGGAAUAGGAGCCCAGUGGCACGCCAUGUCUCACAGCCACUAUUGGAUCGGAAGGGGAUGAAAAGGAGAAAGAGGACACCCCUGGUGGCGCAGGCAUCCAACGUCCCGGACAACGUCCUCCGCGACGUCCUUCUCCAUGCCCGAAUCCACUGCUCUUCAAGCUACGUUGCCUGCAACUACAAGGUCCACACCACAACUCCCGCUACUGAUGUGUCACAAUUGAGGCCAUGGCUCGCAAGGGGUAGGUCGUUCUCGAUUUUUUCCGCUCGGUCUACGGCCUCCUUUGCCCAUGGUCAGAUCUUCUCAUCGCCGGCCACAGGAGGACAAUGAUCUAGCCGUGCUCCAAAACUACCACCACCAAGCAGGGGAGCAUUGCGCCGGCCUCCUCUCCUCUGGUCCCAAGUCCGACCACCACCACAACCAGGCGUGCUCCUCCAUAGGCCCAACUGUGGAGUCCGGAGCAACCAAGGCCAACCAAGUUGUUGGAGGACAAAUUUUCUCUGUUCUCAAAGCUUGUAGUGGAAUACAUGAUGAGGUUGAUGCACAAUUGAGCCAGCAUCACAAAUGUUAUCAAAUGAAAUUUUACUUUAUCCAAAUUGUUUUAUGCAAAUAUUAGAAAUAUACUAUGCCUCUCUGAUUCAUCGGAUGUGGUGAAGAGGCUGGCAUGUAAUAUGUGAAAUUCGUAUAGCUGCGCACUACCGGGCAUAGAAGGAUGUGCUGGCUCUCGACUUAUUUCUGCAGGCGACGACAUAUCAUGAACUAACUGGAGGAGCCAAACUGGAUUUGAAAGGUGUGCUGACCAGUCCCUCUGCUCUACCCACAUGAUAGUAUGUAAACGAAUGACUAGAUACUUUUCAUCAGAAAAAAAAGGAACGCGUAGAUAUUUUACUUGGUUUUCUUUCAUGUUGGCCUUAACUAACAAACAUGUUCUCAGCAAGUUCUCCACCUUUGCCAUGGGAUGAGAAUGACGCUUACACAACAGAGGUUUUUCAGUUUUAUUGUCAGGUCUAUUUACGCAUUCUGUAUUUUACUUGAGAGUGAACUUCUAAGGCUGUACCUUCUGCAAAGUGCUAGCACCUACAGAUGAUCCGAAUUUUCCUCUUGUAAAUGUCAUGAGGCAUGAGCCACAACCUCUUCGUAGAACAUUAAAACAAAACAUUGAUCCCCCUGUGGGUACACAAACAUUGUCCUUCUGAUUUAUUUUUCCAAUAGAUGAUUGUGGACCAAGUUUUUUCAAUCUAUGCCCUUUUUGCUGCACAAUUUUUUUUGGUGCUGCCAUAUAAGUUAUAUUAUUAAUAUACUUUAGUGUUGUUAUUAGUAGUUGACUUAUCUAGCAAUAGAAUGUUGGGACGAUAGCUCUAGCCUCUGCCAACAUUCUGAAAACUGUAGCAUCCUUUAUACUAAUAUAUUACAUGUUUUUGGAUGGUUCUUUUUCUUGAGCGGCCGCUCCUGUCCACGGUCUCCUUGAUCUCAGGAUCUGCUCCUUCCCCACGCCUGCCCACGAGGACAAGGAGGCAUGGCGGUGGCCACUAGCAGCGCCAGGAGGUUUUAAGCUCAGGUGUCAUGUGUGGUGACGAGCUCAUCAUCGCGGGAUUGGUCACGUUCGGAUGUGUUGUGAUCAAGUGAACACCAUGGCCAUCGCCGGUGAUGGUGGGAAGGAAGAUAAGCACGUCAGAUCGGGUGAUGUGUUGAAAUUGAUGACUUGGACCUGCUGGCAGUCUUGAGUCAUGCUUAUUGGGCUAAAGAAACUGAUGUUGACGGAGGUAAUGACAAACAAGAUGGUGAAUCUGAAAAUGUGAACACACAAGAUCUCUAAGAAAUGAUUUGGUAGAUGGCACAAUUACCGCAACCAACUCCACAACCUGAUUCUGUCUGGGCCGGCCCUUGGAGGGUUGUGAUGCAGGUGCAGUUGAAGCUGCCAUAGGGCAUGAAAAACGUGUUACAUUUUGUUUGGGAGGGAGUGAUUUUUAACGUCGGAUAACUUAUUAGAAACCAUGCGAUGUGAGAGUCACGGUAAGCACGAUACGAUGAGGGUCACUUGCCUUGGAUUUAUUCUAACAUCGGCAGGUAUCUACAUUGAAGCGUCGUCUAAUCCGUCCCGACGAAAGAAGUUGAGGAUCGGAGCCUGGAAGACAUAUGACGACGUUGUUGAGCAAGCUUGAACAUUUGUACAAAAUGUAUGACUGUGCUGAGAAGCAUUAUACUCGUGACAAACUUCAGAAAUAUACUGAAAAUUCAAAGAACUGUAAAUUUUUUCUCG
rnacentral:rRNA from 1 species